rnacentral:rRNA from 1 species
AUGCUUAGUAGCGGCGAGUGAGCGGCAAAAGCUCAAAUUUGAAAUCUGGCGCCUUCGGUGUCCGAGUUGUAAUUUGAAGAUUGUAACCUUGGGGUUGGCUCUUGUCUAUGUUUCUUGGAACAGGACGUCACAGAGGGUGAGAAUCCCGUGCGAUGAGAUGCCCAAUUCUAUGUAAGGUGCUUUCGAAGAGUCGAGUUGUUUGGGAAUGCAGCUCUAAGUGGGUGGUAAAUUCCAUCUAAAGCUAAAUAUUGGCGAGAGACCGAUAGCGAACAAGUACAGUGAUGGAAAGAUGAAAAGAACUUUGAAAAGAGAGUGAAAAAGUACGUGAAAUUGUUGAAAGGGAAGGGUUUGAGAUCAGACUCGAUAUUUUGUGAGCCUUGCCUUCGUGGCGGGGUGACCCGCAGCUUAUCGGGCCAGCAUCGGUUUGGGCGGUAGGAUAAUGGCGUAGGAAUGUGACUUUACUUCGGUGAAGUGUUAUAGCCUGCGUUGAUGCUGCCUGCCUAGACCGAGGACUGCGAUUUUAUCAAGGAUGCUGGCAUAAUGAUCCCAAACCGCCCGUCUUAA